AACGCAGCGAAGGGCGAUAAAUAAUGUGAAUUGCAGAAUUCAGUGAAUCAUCGAGUCUUUGAACGCACAUUGCGCCCCCUGGUAUUCCGGGGGGGCAUGCCUGUCCGAGCGUCAUUGCUGCCCUCAAGCCCGGCUUGUGUGUUGGGUCCUAGUCCUUAGGGACAGGCCCGAAAGGCAAUGGCAGUACCGCGUCCGGUCCUCGAGCGUAUGGGGCUUUGUCACCCGCUCUGUAGGCCCGGCCGGCGCUCCGCCGACCAACCAAAAACUAUUUUUCAGGUUGACCUCGGAUCAGGUAGGGAUACCCGCUGAACUUAA
rnacentral:rRNA from 1 species